UCUGGUUGAGAGCUUCUGGAUUAGUAGGAGGAGUCCACAAGUCUAUUAUUUACUAUGCACACAAACAUUUACCUAAUUUUUCUUUCAAUAAGAAACCUUAUCCGUUGCGCUGGUGCCUGAUUUUCUGACUGCAAAGUCUCUUCAAAGUCUCCUUUGCAAUUUCUCUGAAGUCUAAACCUCCCUUUGUCUUUUCAUGGAUGAGAGAAUAACAGUGGCUAUAUGAAACGGAGCGGCGAUCUCAAAUACUCGCCAUACUCUGUUUUUCAGCUCCACUUGUUCCAGCAAGCACUUCUGAGACAUCAAAGCGAGUUGGCCAAGACUGAGAAGCAAGUCGUACUCAGGAAGCUGCCCCCCAGGGUGACUUUGCAGGCUUUGCCUUUCCGACCUCUACAGCAGGUGGCUCGGUUCUGUGCAGCACCAGCUCCUCUCACCCUCCUGAAAAAAGAAGAGAGAAGUAGCUUUUGCACUAUUGUCUGGCAUCAUCUACCUGGAACCAACAGGGUCCACAUUCAGACCACGAAGAAGAGAGACCUCCAGAUGCUGUGAAAGUUAACAAUCAUACAAUGGGAUGAAAGUUAGUCAUCUCUCAAGCACAGUAAGAAGAAUGAUAAAAAUAAUAGCUAACAACUGAAGCAGAAGACAGGGAGGCCUUUGUGCUGCAUAUGCUGGGACAAAGGAAGAAGAACCACAGAGGGAACUUCAUUCUUCAGUUCCAAAUUCUUCUGUUUUUUGCUCUGUCAAAAUAAAUCUUAGUCUUUCAACCUUAUUUUUUUCCUAUAAUGAAUUGAAGAAAUGGGAAAAUACUGGACUUUUUUGCCCAAAAAACUUAACAGUCAAAACUGGGAUUCAAAUGUGCUGUGGUAUCUCACAUCUCACAUUAUAGGAUCUGCUAUAAUUUGGG
rnacentral:lncRNA from 1 species